GAUGAACGCUGGCGGCGUGCCUAACACAUGCAAGUCGAACGGAGAUUACGGACGGAAGUUUUCGGAUGGAAGCCUGUACUUCUUAGUGGCGGACGGGUGAGUAACGCGUGGGCAACCUGCCCUAUACAGGGGGAUAGCAGCUGGAAACGGCUGGUAAGACCGCAUAAGUCGGUUAAAUCGCAUGAUUUGAUCGGGAAAUGAGCAAUCAGGUAUAGGAUGGGCCCGCGUCCGAUUAGCCAGUUGGCAGGGUAAAAGCCUACCAAAGCGACGAUCGGUAGCCGGACUGAGAGGUCGGACGGCCACAUUGGGACUGAGACACGGCCCAAACUCCUACGGGAGGCAGCAGUGGGGGAUAUUGCACAAUGGAGGAAACUCUGAUGCAGCGACGCCGCGUGAGUGAAGAAGUAUUUCGGUAUGUAAAGCUCUAUCAGCAGGGAAGAUGAUGACGGUACCUGACUAAGAAGCCCCGGCUAACUACGUG
rnacentral:rRNA from 1 species